CCUACGGGAGACAGCAGUGAGGAAUAUUGGUCAAUGGCCGCAGGGCUGAACCAGCCAAGUCGCGUGAGGGAUGACGGUCCUAUGGAUUGUAAACCUCUUUUGUCAGGGAGCAAAGGGCGCCACGUGUGGCGCUUUGCGAGUACCUGAAGAAAAAGCAUCGGCUAACUCCGUGCCAGCAGCCGCGGUAAUACGGAGGAUGCGAGCGUUAUCCGGAUUUAUUGGGUUUAAAGGGUGCGCAGGCGGAAUGUCAAGUCAGCGGUAAAAUUUCGGGGCUCAACCCCGUCGUGCCGUUGAAACUGGCAGUCGUGAGUACAGUAGAGGUGGGCGGAAUUCGUGGUGUAGCGGUGAAAUGCUUAGAUAUCACGAAGAACUCCGAUUGCGAAGGCAGCUCACUGGACUGCAACUGACACUGAGGCUCGAAAGUGUGGGUAUCAAACAGGAUUAGAUACCCCUGUAGUC
rnacentral:rRNA from 1 species